AAUGGGCGGAAGCCUGAUCCAGCCAUGCCGCGUGAAGGAUGACUGCCCUUUGGUUGUAAACUUCUUUUAUAGAGGAAGAACCUCUCUACGUGUAGAGAGCUGACGGUACUCUACGAAUAAGGACCGGCUAACUCCGUGCCAGCAGCCGCGGUAAUACGGAGGGUCCAAGCGUUAUCCGGAUUUAUUGGGUUUAAAGGGUCCGUAGGCGGGUUUUUAAGUCAGUGGUGAAAUCCUACAGCUCAACUGUAGGACUGUCAUUGAAACUGGAGAUCUUGAAUGUGAUUGAAGUGGGCGGAAUAGGUCAUGUAGCGGUGAAAUGCUUAGAUAUGACCUAGAACACCGAUAGCGAAGGCAGCUCACUAAGUCAUGAUUGACGCUAAUGGACGAAAGCGUGGGGAGCGAACAGGAUU
rnacentral:rRNA from 1 species